rnacentral:rRNA from 1 species
GUCGAGCGGUAACAGAAAGUGCUUGCACUUUGCUGACGAGCGGCGGACGGGUGAGUAAUGCUUGGGAAUAUGCCAUUAGGUGGGGGACAACAGUUGGAAACGACUGCUAAUACCGCAUAACGUCUACGGACCAAAGGAGGGGACUCUUCGGAGCCUUUCGCCUAUUGAUUAGCCCAAGUGAGAUUAGCUAGUUGGUGAGGCAAGAGCUCACCAAGGCGACGAUCUCUAGCUGGUUUGAGAGGAUGAUCAGCCACACUGGGACUGAGACACGGCCCAGACUCCUACGGGAGGCAGCAGUGGGGAAUAUUGCACAAUGGGGGAAACCCUGAUGCAGCCAUGCCGCGUGUGUGAAGAAGGCCUUCGGGUUGUAAAGCACUUUCAGUUGUGAGGAAAGGUAUGUAGUUAAUAACUGCAUGCUAUGACGUUAGCAACAGAAGAAGCACCGGCUAACUCCGUGCCAGCAGCCGCGGUAAUACGGAGGGUGCGAGCGUUAAUCGGAAUUACUGGGCGUAAAGCGUGCGUAGGCGGAUAUUUAAGCAAGAUGUGAAAGCCCAGGGCUCAACCUUGGAACUGCAUUUUGAACUGGAUGUCUAGAGUACUGUAGAGGGUGGUGGAAUUUCCAGUGUAGCGGUGAAAUGCGUAGAGAUUGGAAGGAACAUCAGUGGCGAAGGCGGCCACCUGGACAGAUACUGACGCUGAGGCACGA